UGUUGUGUCUUCCGUGUUGGGGGCAGGUGUAUUUGUUGUGAACCCUGCUCCUUUUUAUAUCUUUUUGUUUGGAACCCUGCAAGCCAGAGUAGCGCUCAGAAGACAGGAAGGUGAAUAAUGGGAAACUGCAUCACUAGGACUUGUCCCUGACAAGUCUGGAAAGAAGUGACAGCAGAUAUAGCAAGGAACUUACAGGAGGGAGCUUUAUUGAGUAAUUAAAGCACAAGGCUGGCAGCUUGGCUUCUGAAGUCCUGUCAUUCACUUCCUGUGGCAACACAUGUACUGUCUGCGAUGGUUACAUCCGAGAGCGGCUGUAACUUCACAGUCCCUGGGCGAAAUAAUUUUAACUGACUUACAUCCUUAGUGUUCACAUCUGAAGGCCUUUUGGGUGCACAGGACACAUCACUACUGCAUAUUAGCGGGGACACAGGGUGGUAUGAGACCUGUCCCACCGUGGAAACAUCCACAGGCCUGUUUCCAGCUUUGCUACCUGAGACAGAGGGGAUGAGACCAGCAGCACUCACUGUUGCUGGGAGGUUUCAGCCAACAAUUAUUGCAAUUGGAUGGCAUUUCAAUAGCCGGCCUCUAGCAAACUCCUAUGAUGAGUCACAGCAUCGGCAAA